CUUUGUAUCGUCGCGGUGCACGCGCUUAACUCUGAGUCAGACAACUCAGAGUUGCUUAAACCUUUUCUCUAAACUCUUUUCAGCUGUUCUGAAACCGAAAACUCCAGGUUUGCAAACUCAAAGUAGAUCAACACAGAGUUUCGUUUAAACUCAGAGUUUGUUAAACCUCCUUCUUGAAACGGGCCCCAGGACCAGGAGGUUAAAUCUAAUCUGUUUAUGGUUAUUGUGCGUUCCUGUUAUUUCAGUCUCUCUUCUGCUUCCUCACCUUCACAUCCGGUACAUUAAACAUUUUAUCUUAUUGUGGAGGAAGAAAAAACUGAGAAACCGAAAGUGAAACUGCGAUGAUUCUGUCGCAGUUUAAUGCAGCAGCCUCAUUGUUCAGAGGAGUCUGUCAGAGAUGGAGCUGCUUCUUCUGAGUCUCUGCCUCGUGUCUUUGUCUGGAUCAACGUUUGCUGAUGGAAACGGUCCAGAGAUCAUCAAGGUGAAAGAAGGCAAUAAUGCGAUUCUGCCCUGUUACAUCAAAGACAAGGACAUUUUGUCUAAGCGGUUUGAGUGGAAGAAAGAUGGAAAGAAGGACGUUUACCUGUAUGACGGAAGUCCGUUAUCAGGUCAAGAUGAGCAGUUCAUCGGUCGUGUGUCUCAUUUUGACCAUGAACUGAAGAACGGUGACGCCUCCAUAAAAAUCAGAGAUACUAAAGUGUCUGACACUGGAUUCUACACCUGUAAUUUACCAAAUCUUACCCAAACCUUCACCGUUCACCUUCGUGUUGGUAAAGUUGCAAAGCUGCACACCAAAAAACUUACAAAAAUGAAGGACGGGGUCCCGCUGCUGUGUCUGGUUUCAGAUGCAUCUCCUGAUUUUCAACUGAAAAUCUCCUGGUUCGACAGCUCUGGAAACAAACUCAAUUCACAAUUAGAGAUAAAAAAAAAUGGAGAACUCCACAUCCUCCAAACUACUGUGACCAAGAGUGAUACUUAUCGCUGUGAUGCAACAAUGGAGGAACUUAGUCAUCAGAUUGAUGAUAAUGUCACUGUCACAGAUGAAGACUUAAACAACACUUCAGAGCAGGAAGCAUGAAGCUUCAGUUGAGGCAGCAGUGAAGCAAGGCAGCAAAGCAGAGUGCGACUCCUCAUGAAGCGUCCAGGACGACGCUCGCUCUUCUUCAGCAGAUCCCGCUCUGCUCAUGUGUCGGUCUCUUCCUGGUGGAUCCUGGACCACGUGGAGCCUCAGGGUUUCACCAGGAGGAGGCUCACACGUCAAACAGGGUGGAGGGUUGCUAGUUUGAUGCCACGUGGUGAACUGCUGCUGUGUGAGGUCACUUUGGACCAAAGCAUCAGUCGAGUCACGAAAUUAAACAACAGCAGGUUUUAAACAUUUAGUCUCAUUUACUCUGAGACGUCAGUGACUCUUGGCUUUUAGAUGCUGGUUGUUAAGUCCCACAAAAACCUCACUUUAAAUGUUUAUGUUUGAAAAUAUUAUUUUUUGCUCACAUUUUAUUUUAUGGGAAUAACAGGUUUUCAUCAUCGUAUUUAUGUUUCACUUCCAUUAUCUGUGUCACACUAAUGUUUGUUCUGUGUUUCAGACAUCCCAGUGGGUGUGUGGGUUGGUUUAGCAGUUAUGGCUCUUAUAAUUGUAGCUGGGGCUGGAGUUAUAUACAAACUCUGGAAGAAAAACAGGUCACGGAUCUAGGCAUGACAACUUCCAGACAUCCAGACCGGGGUGUGACACAGAACUUCAUCUGGACUCGAUGUUUCUGUGUCCACAUGACUCAACCUGACAUGAUGUUACAGUGAUUUUAUUUCACAUUGUCUUAGUUCACCCUGUGUUUACCUGAACAGGUGUUAGGUUUUGUUUUUUCUGUUUUCAGUCCAUGUUGAUGUAAAUGUCUGACGUCACUAUAAACAGACAUUGAUGAUUCUGCAGGAACCUGAUGGUAAAACCUUCCAGCUUCACGUAAACACAGGCUGUAGAACCAUUGGUGAAUAUAAUUAUUUACAUUGUUGUGCAGCUUUGAAGUCAAAUGUAACUUGAGUUGCUGUUAAAAGCAAUUAAAGGAUUUUACCAACAUUUUGCUUCAAUUCCAAAUAUUCAACCUCAUGAAAUAUAUAAUUAAAUAUAUAUUUUCUGUGAACAAGCAGCUAAGGUUUAAGUAUAAACAAGUGAGUGACCCUGAGACCUGAACAGAGGAACCAGCUGGAGGAAACAGUCGUUCCCCGUUUAAAGUGAUCAGACGCUUAAUUGAUUCAUUGGCUUAAACUUGAUGUAUUUAAUGUGAAUAUUUAGCAGCUACAUUCAACAAAAUGUGACUUUUAUUUAAUGGUUCCUUCUUUUCUGUAUAAAGUGUUGGUCCAAAAUCUGGACAUCUUCAUGUGGUUAACAGUAAACAGUUACAGUUAGCAUUUAGUCGUUUUUAUUUGAUUAACUUUAGCUUUUUCAGAGUUUGUCGUAUUAAUUCAUUUUCAUGAUGUAACAUUUCUAUGAUUUAUCUAAUUAGUGUCAGAUACAGUUUUUAUGCUGCAAUAUUAAAACACAUUUACUUUAUUGUUUGAUUUAGUUCAGAUACUGUUUAUAACUGUUAUAAUUUUAGUUCAGAUUCAGGUUUUACUUGAGAUCAGAUUGUUUCGUAGGGAAAUUAAAAUAGUUCCUGUUGUCUAAUAACAAAUAUUUGUCAUUAUUAAAUAACUUUUAACUGUGCAAACAUUAAAAUACAUAAUAUACUCAAACUGUUUGUAGAUGAUUUUUCUAUGUAGAAGAAGAAAGCCUUUAUUGCUCAUUAU